rnacentral:lncRNA from 1 species
GGCAGCGGCAGCGGUGGCGGCGGCGCCUGAGGCCUGAGGAGGCGUCGUCCCCUCAGGCUUCGCCUGGGGAGCACCUCUGGGCGGUGCGCCUCAGGCUGCUCCGGACGCGGCGGACCCGGGCUGGAUGUGACCUUCUCCUGCCUGGAAUAGCUCAAGUGCUUAGAAGUUUCAUUGCACACCUGAGGAAGUACUUGAGUGCGAUUGGGUAGGAGAGGCCAAAUGAAUUCAUUUCAUGCCAGUAGGCAAAACAGUAA